rnacentral:rRNA from 1 species
GAUAAACGCUGGCGGCGUGCAUGAGACAUGCAAGUCGAACGGACGAUCAGGGCUUGCUCUGAUCGUUAGUGGCGGACGGCUGAGUAACGCGUAGGUGACUUGCCCCGAAGUGGGGAAUAACUGCCCGAAAGGGUGGCUAAUACCGCAUGUGGUGGUGCGUUCGAUCGCACCAGUAAAGCCGCAAGGCGCUUCGGGAGAGGCCUGCGUCCGAUUAGCUCGUUGGUGGGGUAACGGCUCACCAAGGCGACGAUCGGUAGGUGGUCUGAGAGGACGAUCACCCAGACUGGGACUGAGACACGGCCCAGACUCCCACGGGAGGCAGCAGUCGGGAAUUUUGCCCAAUGGACGAAAGUCUGAGGCAGCAACGCCGCGUGAGGGAUGACGGCCUUCGGGUUGUAAACCUCUUUUGUCAGGGACGAUGAUGACGGUACCUGACGAAUAAGUCACGGCUAACUACGUGCCAGCAGCCGCCGUAACAC